rnacentral:rRNA from 1 species
UCCUGGAAACGGGUGGUAAUGCCGGAUGCUCCGACUCCUCGCAUGGGGUGUCGGGAAAGAUUUCAUCGGUAUGGGAUGGGGUCGCGUCCUAUCAGGUAGUCGGCGGGGUAACGGCCCACCGAGCCUACGACGGGUAGCCGGCCUGAGAGGGCGACCGGCCACAUUGGGACUGAGAUACGGCCCAGACUCCUACGGGAGGCAGCAGUGGGGAAUAUUGCACAAUGGGCGCAAGCCUGAUGCAGCGACGCCGCGUGCAGGAUGACGGCCUUCGGGUUGUAAACCGCUUUUGAUCGGGAGCAAGCCUUCGGGUGAGUGUACCUUUCGAAUAAGCACCGGCUAACUACGUGCCAGCAGCCGCGGUAAUACGUAGGGUGCAAGCGUUAUCCGGAAUUAUUGGGCGUAAAGGGCUCGUAGGCGGUUCGUCGCGUCCGGUGUGAAAGUCCAUCGCUUAACGGUGGAUCUGCGCCGGGUACGGGCGGGCUGGAGUGCGGUAGGGGAGACUGGAAUUCCCGGUGUAACGGUGGAAUGUGUAGAUAUCGGGAAGAACACC